rnacentral:lncRNA from 15 species
AUGUCUGAAAUACGGUCUGUGGUUCACACAAGCUUACGAUAUUUUCACGUUUUCUUCUACGUCAUAAACCCGUCAGUAAACUCCACCUGUCAAUGUCGAAGCUUCUACGUGUCUAAAGGAGACUACAAAGGUUGUAGUGACAUUAAAACAGAGACGGAUCUGCUCACUUGUCCGUCUUUAAAGCCUUGUUGUGUUUAUGCUCUCUCAAACUAUUCUAACUUAUCUUUAAAGUGAAGGUUGUCAAUGGCGCAAUCUCAUUGGCUUUUUGUGGAAGGAACCAGGAAGUUAACUUCAGGUUUCAUCACUACAGAACUUAUUUUAUAUUUUGUUCACAUAUGAUCAGAGUAGAUCUUUAUCGUGUGUGCACCAAAUAAUAACAAUGAAUAACUAUUAAUAAUUAAUAACAAUGAAUAACUAUUAACAACAAUUAAUAACUAUUAAUAAUCAUUAAUAACUGUUACUUUGGGGUCUCUGCUGAUUUGUAGCGUCAACGUUAAAUUGCUGAAAUGGUCCUUUAAGUUUGGUUUAUUUCUUCCAGUUUUAAAAAAGGCUUUUGUAGAAAAUGUAUUUGUAGUUUUUUAUUUCAUUAUUUUGGCAGCAGAAUUCAAAUCUGCAUGAGAUGGAUUUUAUAUUAAUGUUUAAAUAUGAAUAAUGCAGGUGAUUAUUUGAUGUAUCAGUCUAACGUGGGAGUCAAUGGAGUCCCAGCGAACCUCCAACCAGCAGGCUCCUCCCACCGCUGACCUCAGCCUCCUCUGAUUGGCUGAGUGUCGUUCAGAGGUCAGAGAGAGGGAGCUGGAUUUGUUUCCUGCCUCGGGCCGGUCGACGGGAGGAGGACGGAGCUCGGCCCCACCGGAAGAAGAACAGGAGAAGAGGAGGAGCAGCAGCAGGAGGAGGAGGUGCUAUGAGGAGGCGAAGAGGAGGAUGAGGAAGAGGGCGAGCAACAUGGCGGACAGCAGGGAGAGGCGGGGCAGAGCGAGGCUGCAGCCACCGGUAGUGUCGUCUGUCAGGAAAGGCUCCGGCGACUCGUACACUGAGUCAUCUGAAAGACAGAGACAGGAAGUGACAUCAUCCAGACGAGACCAAAGAAGAAGAAAAUUAUUUUAUAAAAUAUAAAAUAUAUUUAUUAUAUUCUAUAUAUAUUUAUUUAUGAUGACAUCAGCUCUGAAGGAGACUUUAAUGCUCAUUAAAACAUAAUCGCUCUGCUUAUUUCCCCAUGAGGCUUUGUUAGUGCGUCUAUGGCAAAGCCUCAUGGGAGAUGUAGUUGUUAAACACUAACAAAGUAACAGGAUGAGGUCUCCAGAGCAGCACAACAUCGUUUCCCUCCAGAGUUUCGUUCCCCGUUCAGCAGCUGCAGACACACGGCGAGAGUUUCUACGGAGCUACGGAGCGAUCAAUAAACCAGAUACACUGAUGGAUCGAUAAUGGAUCGAUAAUGGAAAGGUAGAGCCGAAGAACUUAUAUUUCUGUUUGGAGUUUAAUUCAAAUACUUUUAUUAAGAAGCCCGACUACAAAAUGUCUGAACUGAGGAGCUGCUUCCAGAUGUUUAUUAAAUGAUAUAAUAAAUAUAAUAAAUUAUUACUAUUAUUAUUAACAAUAAAUUAUUAUAAUAAUAACAAUUAUUAUUAUUAUUAACAAUUAUUAUUAUUAUUAACAAUUAUUAUAAUAAUAACAAUUAUUAUUAUUAU